CAACUAUACUGUGAAACUGCGAAUGGCUCAUUAAAUCAGUUAUCGUUUAUUUGAUCAUAACCUACUACAUGGAAUACCUGUGGAAAAUCUAGAGCUAAUACAUGCUAAAGCCCCGACUUCGGAAGGGGUGUGUUUAUUAGAUAAAAAGCCAAUGCCCUUCGGGGCUCCUUGGUGAUUCAUGAUAACCUUUCUGAUCGCAAAUGGCCUCCGCGCCGGCGACGGUUCAUUCAAAUUUCUGCCCUAUCAACUUUCGAUGGUACGGUAGUGGCCUACCAUGGUGUCAACGGGUAACGGGGAAUUAGGGUUCGAUUCCGGAGAGGGAGCCUGAGAAACGGCUACCACAUCCAAGGAAGGCAGCAGGCGCGCAAAUUACACAAUGUCGACUCGACGAUGUAGUGACAAUAAAUACUGAUACAGGGCUCUUUUGGGUCUUGUAAUUGGAAUGAGUACAAUUUAAACCUCUUAACGAGGAACAAUUAGAGGGCAAGUCUGGUGCCAGCAGCCGCGGUAAUUCCAGCUCUAAUAGCGUAUAUUAAAGUUGUUGCAGUUAAAAAGCUCGUAGUUGAACCUUUGGCUUGGCGAGCACGUCCGCCUCACCGCGUGCACGUGACCCGCCGAGCCUUUUCUUCUGGAGAACCGCAUGCCCUUCACUGGGUGUGUUGGGGACCAGGACUUUUACUUUGAAAAAAUUAGAGUGUUCAAAGCAGGCCUUUGCUCGAAUACGUUAGCAUGGAAUAAUGGAAUAGGACGUGCGGUCCUAUUUUGUUGGUUUCUAGGACCGCCGUAAUGAUUAAUAGGGACAGUCGGGGGCAUCAGUAUUCAAUUGUCAGAGGUGAAAUUCUUGGAUUUAUUGAAGACUAACUACUGCGAAAGCAUUUGCCAAGGAUGUUUUCAUUAAUCAGUGAACGAAAGUUAGGGGAUCGAAGACGAUCAGAUACCGUCGUAGUCUUAACCAUAAACUAUGCCAGCUGGGGGAUCGGACGGUGUUUCUAUUGUGACCCGUUCGGCACCCUACGAGAAAUCAAAGCGUUUGGGUUCUGGGGGGGAGUAUGGUCGC
rnacentral:rRNA from 1 species